UGCAGCACCACAGCGCUGGAAUCAGGUGCAGCGACGCCGAGCUCACAUAUCCCGGAGGACAUCACCAACAUCAGUGACCUCCUGGCUUGGAUCAACAGCGAAGUGGCACCCAAAAUAGACGUCCCGGACAACAUCCCGGACAUGGAUGAUCACUCGACCGAGUGCCCAGCCCCUGCCUGCACCACCAGCGGGCACCAGCAGCACACUGGCAGCAUCCAAGCUGCAAAGAGGAAGCUGCCCGAGAGCCAGGAUGCUCCAGAACAAAAACGCCAGUGCUAGGCAAAGCUGGGUGUGCUCAGCAAGAACACGAGCAUCUGAACCGGCCCACGUUGCGGCAGGAGACACGGCCAUUACCAACUAAUAAGGCCACCUGUAGCCCUGGGCUCCUCGCCGGCCCCUCGCACAGAGCAGCGGCAGUGCUCCAGGGGCACCAGCACCGGCCCCAGCCCAACCCUGCAAGCCUGGGCUGUCCACCAACACCACCUUGGUCUGGGAUAGUGUGGGACUCCAUUAGAUUAUGUUACGUUAUGUUUUCUUUUGUUAUGUUAUGAUAUUUUAUGUUAUUUUAUGUUCAA